GAUGAACGCUGGCGGCGUGCCUAAUACAUGCAAGUCGAGCGAACGGACGAGAAGCUUGCUUUUCUGAUGUUAGCGGCGGACGGGUGAGUAACACGUGGAUAACCUACCUAUAAGACUGGGAUAACUUCGGGAAACCGGAGCUAAUACCGGAUAAUAUUUUGAACCGCAUGGUUCAAAAGUGAAAGACGGUCUUGCUGUCACUUAUAGAUGGAUCCGCGCUGCAUUAGCUAGUUGGUAAGGUAACGGCUUACCACGGCAACGAUGCAUAGCCGACCUGAGAGGGUGAUCGGCCACACUGGAACUGAGACACGGUCCAGACUCCUACGGGAGGCAGCAGUAGGGAAUCUUACGCAAUGGGCGAAAGCCUGACGGAGCAACGCCGCGUGAGUGGUGAAGGUCUUCGGAUCGUAAAACUCUGUUAUUAGGGAAGAACAUAUGUGUAAGUAACUGUGCACAUCUUGACGGUACCUAAUCAGAAAGCCACGGCUAACUACGUG
rnacentral:rRNA from 1 species